CUACGGGGCGCAGCAGUGGGGAAUAUUGCACAAUGGGCGCAAGCCUGAUGCAGCCAUGCCGCGUGUAUGAAGAAAGCCUUCGGGUUGUAAAGUACUUUCAGCGGGGAGGAAGGGAGUAAAGUUAAUACCUUUGCUCAUUGACGUUACCCGCAGAAGAAGCACCGGCUAACUCCGUGCCAGCAGCCGCGGUAAUACGGAGGGUGCAAGCGUUAAUCGGAAUUACUGGGCGUAAAGCGCACGCAGGCGGUUUGUUAAGUCAGAUGUGAAAUCCCCGGGCUCAACCUGGGAACUGCAUCUGAUACUGGCAAGCUUGAGUCUCGUAGAGGGGGGUAGAAUUCCAGGUGUAGCGGUGAAAUGCGUAGAGAUCUGGAGGAAUACCGGUGGCGAAGGCGGCCCCCUGGACGAAGACUGACGCUCAGGUGCGAAAGCGUGGGGAGCAAACAGGAUUAGAUGCCCCCGUAGUC
rnacentral:rRNA from 1 species